ACGCAAAACGCUAGAGCGACCGGCGAUGGGAAACGAGAUGCGGAGUCCUAGAACGGCCUGACAUGGGAAACGAGACACGGAGUCCUAGAACGGCCUGACAUAGGAAACGAGACGCGGACUCCUAGAGCGACCGGCGACGAGAAACUCGAAACGUUAGAGGGAACGGCAGUGGGAGACGAGGUACGGAGUCCUAGAGCGGCCGGGGUAGGGAGAAUGAGACGCAAAACGCUAGAGCGACCGGCGAUGGAAAACGAGACGCGAAACGUCAGAGGGAACGCCAGUGGGAAACGAGACGCGGAAUCCUAGAACGGCCACUGGAAAACGAGAUGUGGAAUCCUAGAGCGGCCGGCGAUAGGACACGAGAUGCGGAAUGCUAGAGCGGGCAACGAUGGUAAACGAGACUUGGAGCGCUAGAGCGGCCGGGGUAGGGGGAACGAGAAGUGGAACCCUAGAGAGACCAGCAAUGGGAAACGAGAUAAAAAAAAGUCCUUGAACGGCCGGACGUGGGAUGAGACGCGGAAUGCUAAAGGAAACGCGGCCAGACCCUAAAGCAAUCGGUCGUAGAAAAAGAGAUGUGUAGUCCUAGAGCGGCGUGCGGUAGGAAACGAGAGGCAAAACGCUAGAAGAAAUGGCGGUGGGACACGAAAUAGCGAAGUCCUAGAGUGGCCGGACGUGGGACAGGAGACGCAAAGCCCUAGAGCGGCCGGCGGUGGGAGAGAUGUGGAGUUCUAGAGCGGUCGCGGCGGGGGGGAGCGAGAGACGAGAAAUGGAACCCUAGAGCGACCGGCGGUGGGAAACGAGGUGCGGAGGCCUAGAGCGGCCGGACUUGGAAACGAGAUGCGCAACCCUAGAGCAGCCGGAAGUACCUUGCUCGGCCGCGGGUUGUUUGGAUGUGUUCGCCACCACCGUGGGCCAUUGUUCAAUUCUGCGCGCAGGUUCCGACUGUGUUUGAGUCCAUCUUCUCCUUCCUCGCCUUUUCCAGGCUCGUGAGUCGGCCUCUGGAACCCAGAAUAGGAUUCCGAUCUCUUGAUGUUGGCCACGGGUUCGGUCAAGCUGGAAUUCAGCUGCUGGCACUUCUUGACACUUUGGAGACACACAGGCCUGGUGUACAUGCACUGCCUGGGUGUGAGCAGAGGGCUUCUCUCGGCGAUCUGUGGAUUCUUGGGCCCGUCGUCUCACCCACAUGCGAAAGGAUCUUAGAUCUUCCCUUCACCUUCAUUUUUCUAUCUAAUGAAAUAAUGAUUGUAAUCAAAUCUCCGAGGGUGAUACUGAGGAUUAAAUGUGGUCUUGGAUCUGAAAGCAUGCUAUAGACUGUGUGAGUGUUCACUGUUGUUCUUGGGAAGCUCAGUACAGCUUUAGUACAGCUGAAAGCUUCAAAUGGAAAAUAAAUAAAACUGUUUCACGUUUGUA